UAGACACUUUUCUUCUUUCUU
rnacentral:piRNA from 1 species